rnacentral:lncRNA from 1 species
UUUUUCAAGAGACAAAGUUAAAGUAUUAAUUUAUUACAAAUAAAUCCCUAUUAAAUUUAUUAUUAUUUAAAAAUUAAAAUUUUAGGGAACGAUGAAUCUAUGGCGGUCCUUUAAAUGGAGAUGAAAAGAGAACUAGAAUUUUCGAGAGAAGUGUGACACACUCCAAGAGCUCCCGCAAGUUCAACCUGAAGAAAUGGGCCAAUUUGUCAUUACUGUGGGCUGAAAUAGGCUAGAUGAAAGCUUUUGAGUGUUGGCGAGCUAGUUGCUGAAGUUGGAAGAGGGUUGUUGAAGUCAAAUUAGCGAGACAACCUACAGAAAGGGUGAUUUGCUAGCGGACAAACCUGCUUGAAGGAGGGCUAUUGGAUGAGAAGACAUGUUGUACGAGCUGUGAAGACAGCAUACUUGGCAAAAGGCAGCUCGAAUGGACCACAGGCCUAAUGAGUAGCAAGUCUAGUUGUGCAAACCUGAGUGAGGCAAAUCUGGUUGUGCAGAGCUUAGUGAGGCAGAUCUGGUUGUACAGAGCUGAGUGCAGCAGAUCUAGUUGUGCAGAGGUGAGACAGAUCUGGCUGUGUAGAGUUGGUUGGGCAACAGAAUUGCCUACGUAUUGGAACCUCAGCAAGACAGCAAGUCUCAGCAUGAAGGUCUCAAAGCUUAGCAAGGUUGGACCAGUUUAGCAGCUUAGCAGCUUGUGACUUCACCAAGCAGGAAGCAGUCUAGAGCAUAGGGUGAAGCAUGCAGACCUUGUCCCAGCCUGGUGCAGACCUGUGUAGCCUUCUGGAGCACAAAAGGGCUAUUCUCCAGAGAUUUCUAGAAUUGCCAAACUCAAAGGUGACAACACAGCUAUUCAGAAGUAAUUGGACUAGAUGCUGAAAGGCGAUGGACCACAUGUCUCUCCACUUGCUUAACUAGAGAAUUUUCUAUUUUAACUUAGUUUCUCAAAUUAUUUCCAGCCAAGUGUAAAGGAGGUAGGGAAAGUGUAUAAAUACCCCACUAUCCUCUGUUAUAUAGAACGUAACGUAACAUGCAGAAAUUGAGAGAGAG